GCCGGCGUGGUGGAAUUGGUAGACACGCAGGACUUAAAAUCCUGUAGCUUAAAAGCUGUGCCGGUUCAAUUCCGGCCGCCGGUACCA
rnacentral:tRNA from 1 species